GUGCCAGCAGCCGCGGUAACACGGGGGGAGCAAGCGUUGUUCGGAAUCACUGGGCGUAAAGGGAGUCUAGGCUGUCAGGUAAGUGGGAUGUGAAAUGCCCCGGCUCACCCGGGGACCGGCAUCCCAAACUGCUUGGCUCGAGUAUGGGAGAGGAUGAGGGAAUUCCUGGUGUAGCGGUGAAAUGCGUAGAUAUCAGGAGGAACACCGGUGGCGAAAGCGCUCAUCUGGCCCAAUACUGACGCUGAAGCUCGAAAGCUAGGGGAGCAAACGGGAUUAGAAACCCUAGUAGUCC
rnacentral:rRNA from 1 species